CCUACGGGAGGCUGCAGUGGGGAAUAUUGCACAAUGGGGGAAACCCUGAUGCAGCGACGCCGCGUGAGUGAAGAAGUUUUUCGGUAUGUAAAGCUCUAUCAGCAGGGAAGAAACUGAAGGUUCCUGAUUAUGAAGCAGCGGAUAAAUACGUGCCAGCAGCCGCGGUAAUACGGAGGGGGCAAGCGUUAUCCGGAUUUACUGGGUGUAAAGGGAGCGUAGGCGGUGAUGCAAGUCAGGAGUGAAAGCCCCGGGCUCAACUCCGGGACUGCUUUUGAAACUGUGUAACUGGAGUGCUGGAGAGGAAAGCGGAAUGCCUGGUGUAGCGGUGAAAUGCGUAGAUAUCAGGAGGAACACCAGUGGCGAAGGCGGCUUACUGGACUGUAACUGACGCUGAGGCACGAAAGCGUGGGGAGCAAACAGGAUUAGAUACCCCAGUAGUC
rnacentral:rRNA from 1 species